rnacentral:lncRNA from 1 species
AACACCACCUGCCAACAUUCAGCCUCCUCUGCCCAUCAGCCUUGCUGACACAGGGAGUGGAGAUUUGUGUAGAGAAAUGACUCAUUCAAAUAUGACUUAAUCUAAACCGUAAGUGUAUGAUUUAUUAAUGUGCCACCAGGCCUUACACCAAGAGAGCCAUUCCAGAGAAAAGUCCUUUUUCUCCUGAGAACAGUGCCAGCAGCUGGCUUCGUGACAUUCUGGAAGCCCCGUGCAAUGCUGUCAGGAGCAUAGGGAUUUUACUUUAUCUCCCUUGCUUAUGCUCCACAUAACUGAAAUAUCUCACUGGAAGCUGCAGCAGUGCUGGCCCCUUGCACAGCCAUAUGUGACCACUGCAGAACAAUCAGUUGGAGAGACAGUUUGGACUACAUGGAGGGUGGAGAUAAGGACAAAGUGAAGAAUACACAGGAACCAGUGCCUCCUCCUGGAACUAUGCAACUCCAAGCUGCUUCCAUCAGCUGCUAGGUCCAGUAGGGAGGGACCUACUGAGAGAAGGUGCCUGCUUCCCUUUCCGCUGUGAUUAGCUAAUUAAAAAUGUGGUGUCCUGGACUCACGAAGCCAGAAUUGCUGAGGAGAUAGCCCGAGAAUCUGAAUUUUUAGCAGACAUUUUUUUAGGUACCUUACCCGCAGGAUCAUUUCUGUGAAUAUCCAUGAGGUGAAAAAGUCUGGGAAACACUGUCCUAGACAGGAAACGCCACGAAGUGUCUGGAUCAAAGAACAGACUAUUGCUCACAGAGCACCUUCAUAGCAUUGUUCCUCAUGCCCCCGUUGCCCAAGGGGAUGGCAGGUUGAGGACCAGAUGUACUUGCAUGUUCAGGGGAUGCAGCACAGAAGAGGAACUCCAAAAUUAUUAUUAUUAUUGUUAUUAUUAUUAUUUUUGAGAUGGAGUCUCGCUCUGUCGCCCAGCCUGGAGUGCAGUGGCGUGAUCUCGGCUCACUGCAAGCUCCGCCUCCCGGGUUCACGCCAUUCUCCUGCCUCAGCCUCCCGAGUAGCUGGGACUACAGGCACGCACCGCCACGCCCUGUUAAUUUUUUUUGUAUUUUUUUUUAGUAGAGACAGGGUUUCACCGUGUUAGCCAGGAUGGUCUUGAUCUCCUGACCUCGUGAUCCACCCGCCUCGGCCUCCCAAAGUGCUGGGAUUACAGGCGUGAGCCACCGCGCCCGGCCGAACUCCAAAAUUAUUAAACUCUGAGCGUCUGCAGGUGACUGACACAUCUGCGCUUCCUUUCUUCCAGGGUGUGGGGAAGAGCGAGAAAAAGAUUUCCGCUCUGGAAGGUAAACAAAUACUCUCUGGAGAGAGAAGAGGAAUGUCCCUAGCAGAUGUCUCCAGAGAAGACAAGACUUUAAAUUCCGCCAGGGAAAUAUACAAUGUCUAACUUCUAAGGCACAUUUGCCAUUCAAUCAUGCUUUAACCCACGUUGCCAGAAAUUUUUGCUCACUAGGUUUUGACUGUACAGGAAUGUGAAAAUAUUCAUGAAGAGUUGUUUUCCAAUGCUAAAGAAUUGAUGUGUUUUAACAGUUGAAUUAAUUGUAUUGAUUAUGAUCACACCUACUUUUUAUAUAUCUUCAUUUCUAACGUUUCUGUACAAUCCUGCCUUUCCACCUGAUAUAGUUAGGCCUUGUGUCAUCAACCAAAUCUCAUCUUGAAUUGUAAUCGCCAUAAUCCCCACGUAUUUAGGGAGAGACCUGGAGGGAGGUGUUUGGAUCAUGGGGGCGGUUUCCCGCAUGCUGUUCUCAUGACCAUGAGAGUAAGUUCUCAAGAGAUCUGAUGGUUUUAUAAGCGUCUGUCAUUUCCACUGCUUGCACUUCUGUGUCCUGCCACCUUGUGAAGAAGGACGUGGUUGCUUCCCCUUCCACCAUGAUUGUGUUUCCUGAGGCCUCCCCAGCCUUGCAGAGCUGUGAGUCAAUUAAACCUCUUUCCUUUAUAAAUUACUCAGUCUCUGUAUUCCUCUGCAGCAGUGUGAGAACAGACUAAUACAUCACCACUUUAUUUACUUUACUCUCUCCCCAUACCGAGGUUUUCUACAUUUUCUUUCUAGGUCUCUACAGUUUCUGCAAAGAUCCUUUAUGGAACUCUUAGGGAAGCUGGGAUGUAUAAUAAAUAAAGGGCUCUUUUCUUUGAGUCCCACACCCAUUUUCUGUGUAUAAAAAUCUUCAACUCCACUUUUGUCUGUUCUAUUUAAAUGUGUGCACAUUUCCUUCUAAUGUUGUAUAUGAAAAAGAGACACCUCUUAGCAGUCUUUCAUAGAGCAAAAUUUUUUACUUUGAUAAAAUCUAAUUUAUCAAUAUUUUUAAAUUUUAUGGAUCAAUCAUGCUUUUGAGGUUGAAUUUAAGAAUGCUUUGCCUAGCCCUAGAUCCCAAGUAUCUUUUAAAAAUUAUUUUUCUAAAUGCAUUAUUUAUGUUUUACACUUAAGUCUAUAAUCCAUUUUGAGUCCAUGUGUAAGAUUUAGGUUAAGGUCAAGAUUUAUCUGUUUUUGUUGUUUUCUCUAUAAAUGUCAAUUGCUCCAGCACUAUUUGUUUAAAAGCCAAUCUUUCCUCCGCUGAGUUCUUCCUAUAAGUUUGUCAAAAGUCAAUUUGGCAUCUUUGUAUAAGUUUAUUUCUGGAUUCUCUAUUCUGUUUUAUUGAUCACUGCAUCUAUCCCUCUUGAUUAGCUAGAUAAUAAAUCCUACAAUAAGGUAGAAUUCUUCCCACUUUAUUCAUAUUCAAAAUAUUUUAAAGCUAUUCUAGUUUCUUUUUAUUUCCAUAUAUAUUUUAGGAUAAUCUUAUCUAUAUUUACAACAUAUGUUGCUAGGAUUUUGAUAGAAUUUGUUUUAAAUUUGUGUAUCAAUGUAGGGAAGACCUGACAUCUUUACUAUUACGUUGAUCUUCCAAUCAAUGAAUAUGGUAUAUCUCUCAGUUUAUAGCUAUUGUCUUUAAUUUAUUUCAUCAUGGUUUUUAGUUUUCAGCAGAGAAGCUUUAUACAUGUUUUGUUAUACAUGUAUAACAAAAGAAGCCUUAUACACUGACAUUUUAUAUUUUGAACAAUUGUAAAUGGUAUUGUUUAAAAAUUUUGUUGUCUAUGAUAGAAAUAAAAUUGAUUUUUGUAGGUUUAUCUUGUAACCUAUGACUUGCUGAGCUCGCUCAUUAGUUUUUUUAUUGUGAUAAAAUAUACAUGAGAUAAAUUUCAUCAUUAUAAUCAUUAAGUUUAGACAUCAAUUGCAUUAAGUACAUAAAUGCCUUAUGCAACCAUCAUCUCUAUCCAUCUCCAGACCCUUUGCAUCACCCUAAAAUGAAACUCUGUGCCCAUUAAACAAUAACUCCCCAUUCUGCCCUCACCCCAGCCCUUGGUAAUUACCAUCCUACCUUUUAUCUCUAUAAAUUUAACCAUCCCAGGUAACUCAUAUAAGUGGAAUCAUGCAGUGUUUGUCCUUUUGUAACUGGUUUAUUUCACUUAGCAUGAUGUCUUCAAGGUUUGCCUAUGUCAUAGCAUGUGUCAGAAUUUCAUCCCUUUUUAAACUUAAAUAAUAUUCCACUGUAGGCAUAUGCCACAUUUUGUUUAUUUGUUCAUCUGUUGAUGGGCAUUUGGGUUGUUUCCACCUUUUGGCUACUGUGAAUAAUGCUGCUGUGAUCAUGGGUAUGCAACUGUCUCCUGGAGUCCCUGCUAUCAAUUCUUGUGGGUAUAUACCCAGAAGUGGAAUUGUUGCAACAUAUAGUAAUUCUAUGUUUAAUUUUUUGAGGACCUGCCAUAAUGUUUUCCACAGUAGCUACAUUGUCUUAUAUUCCCAUUAAGAGUUCCAAUUUCCUCACAUCUUCACCAAUACUUAUUGUUUUCUGUUUUUUUAAAUAAUAGCCAUCAUAAUAAAAGUAACAUGGUAUCUCAUUGUGGUUUUAACUGCAUUUCCCUUUUUACUGGAUUGUUUGUAAUAUUGCUGUAAUUGAGUUGUAGGAGUUUUUAAAUAUGUUCUGAAUAAUUAAUUUCUUAUCAGAUAUGUCAUUUGCAAAUAUUUUCUGCCAUUCUCUGGGUUGUCAUUUCACUCUCUUGAUAGUGUCCUUUGAUGCACAGAAGUUUUGAAAUUUGAUAAAGUUUAAUUUGCGUAUGUAUUUAUUUUGUUGCUUAUGCUUUUGGUGUCAUAUCCAAGAAAUUAUUGCCAAAUUCAGUGUCAUGAAGAUUUUCCCCUGUGUUUUCCUCUAAGAGUAUUAUAGUUUUAACUCUUGCACUUAGAUUGAUCCGCUUUGAGUUAAUUUUAGUAUAUGGGGUAAGACAAGGGCUCAAAUUUGUUCUUUUGUUUGAAGAUUCUAGGUCAUUUGUGAUCUUUAGGAUUUUCUAUGUAGACAUUAAUGUCAUCUUCAAAUAUGAACAGUUUAUUUCUUCCUUUUGUAUAUGUAUGAAUUUACUUUCCUUUUCUUGCCUUAUUGCACUGGCUAGAGUUUUCAGUACUAUGAUGAAUAAAAUCAGUGAGAGCAGACACCCUUGCUUUGUUUCUAAUCUUAGGAGGAAAGCUUUCAGUCUUUCAUCAUUAGGUAUACUGUUAGUUGUAGGCUUAUUAUAGAUGCUCUUUAUCAGGUUGAGGCAGUUUCCUCCUUGGUUAAGACUUUCUAUUUUUCAUUUUCAGUUAUGACCAGGCAUGUUCAUAACUGCUCAUCAAAACUUUGAAUUAGUGGCUGCUUUAACAUCCUUCUCAGACAAUUCUAACAUCUGUUUUGUUGGUGGUGGCAUCUAUCAAUUGUCUUUUUCAUUCUGUUUGAGAUCUUCCUUGCGUUUGGUAUGAUUUUUUUAAAUAUUAUGUCAUGAAACUGCAUCUUAUUUAAAUCUUCUGUUUUAGUUGGCUAUGUCUGACAUCACUUCCCCAGGGGAAGGUGUUGUUACUGCUAGUGGAGGGUGAGAAUUAUGGCUCUCCACUGACAUUGUGGUGGGAUUGGUCCCAUUACCACUGGGCAGGGUUGAAAGUCCUGACUUUCUGCUAGGCCUUCUCUGACUUCAUCGCAGCAGGAGGAAAAGAUGCCUCUGGAGUUGAAGUCAGGUUGCACUGACACUGUGUGUGUAUGGAGGUAGGCUGGGGUGAAAGUGGAGACUCAUUACCACAUGGUGAGUAGUUUCCAGCUCUCUAUUUGGCCUUCUCUGAUACCACCCAGACAGGGACAUUGGGGAUACCUCAUUACAGCCUAGUGAGGGUCAAACUCUAGGCUCCCCACUCAGUCUUUGCUAUCAUGGACACUGUAGGACCAUAGUUUUUUCUGUGCUGUUUGCUUGAUGUGUCUUCCUUGGACCCUGAGUUCCAUAGCUGGUCUGCAUUCCUCUCUCCACCUUUAAGACGUCUUCUUAUGUUUAUUUCAUAUUUAACAUCCAGGGUGGUAAUUAGAGGGAAGAAUAGAGGGAAAAGUACAGUUGCACUUUGUUGUUCAAAGAGCAGUUUUGAACUGCACAGACCCAUUUCUCUGAGCACACCCAGGGAUGAUUGUACUUGUAUAAAAUUUUUUUCCUGGAUGCAGAAUUCUCAAUUGACUGUGAAAGUUCAUAACAAAGAAAACAGUGGGGAAGACAAAUCUGGAAAUGAGGAAAAUAAAAAUUAAAUAGUGAGACCACCCAUGGAGCUUGUGGCAAAGCCUGAAUUGAAUCCGCUGUAUCUUAAGAUUGUGCCUCAUUCUAAAUUUAAGUCACCCUUCUCAUUAUGAAAGUGUCACAACUUCUCAGUAGGUGAGGAGACAGUCUAAAUUUGAGAAAAGAAAGUUACAACAAAGGUUUUGAGCAAGCUGCUAAGUGGAUUUAUUCAUGUUUGAGAAAUCAAAUAUAUGGUUAAUGAGCUCUUUAACUAGAAGCCAACACUAGGGAGGAGUAGACAGAAGUCACGGGGAGGGAGCCCCCGGACAUUUCAAAAGACUUUGCCCUGCAACAUCUCCUCCACAUUUAAGCUUUUAGGUUAUUGUAGCCACAUCACAAGCAUGUUACCUACCCAGAUAUUGUCUGCGCAUCAUUCCCAAAAGCUUCCCUGGGUCUUCAUAAUAUUAAUGAGAUUCUCCCCCAGGUUAGACCCCUUUGGCUUGAGUCAGAAACAGAAUUAAUCCGGGGGACAAUCCAGCAGCACCCAUCUCUGGGUUGCAGAAAUAUCUGAGGUGACCAGGCAGUGUUUGGAGUCCCCUCAGUUAGCUAACAAAGUGAGUUCACAGCUUCCAAGACCCCAGGCUUUCCAGGCUAAUAAAGAGCUGAGGUUAUAGGCUCUCCUUAUCAAACGCUCUUUGGCAGCUGCCAUAACCAUUCCAAGUCUAGUCCUAGAAUAGAAAUGACGCGGUUUCAGGAGCUGACAGAUGGAACUUUAAGCCUUCCUUCCUGCCACAUCUGAAGUUCUUUUUUAAAAAAAUAGAAAACCAUGACAAUAAACACUCCUUGAAUGCCCUGUGGAAAAGUGUACUCCUCAGAAUUCACUAAAGUGGGGUGAAGCAGUGGGUUGUGGUGCUGAGAAAACAUCUCUUCCCCUCGGCAGUAUAUUGGAAUCUCAUAGAAACUUCUGUGGCUGGGAAGCAAACAUGCUCUCUGCCCCAUUGCUCUUAUUCAUCUUUAGACCUGAUAAUACAGUUUGAACUUCAAGUUGCACUUUAAAUGGCAUGCAUUUUUA